UGCCGUUACGGGUGUCAGAUUGUAAAUAUGGCCGACGGCAACAAGACGCCGGACGACUUUUUGUCAACAGCUUUAAAUUUUCGGUAUAAUAUAUCAGUUAUCAACCUUUCACUCGGGUGAUUCCACAAGAAAUUACCCUGAGGGAUGAAAUAUUCCGAGGGCAUGCGCUUGGUCUAAUCUAUAAUCAUCUUUGGAAAUAUACUAUUCAUUUCAUGUUUCAGUUUACUAUCGGAACAAAAAAAACCCAAUUAUCCUGCAUCGCGUGCACGGCUGAUACAGAUUCAAUCGCGAAGAAAUUGGCAGAGACAGCAGCAGUUCUCAGGCGAUAUUACCUCUACGGCCAACUGAUGAUGGAUCCAUGGUGCAGCAGUUCUCAGGCGAUAUUACCUCUACGGCCAACUGAUGAUGGAUCCAUGGUGCAGCAGUUCUCAGGCGAUAUUACCUCUACGGCCAACUGAUGAUGGAUCCAUGGUGCAGCAGUUCUCAGGCGAUAUUACCUCUACGGCCAACUGAUGAUGGAUCCAUGGUGCAGCAGUUCUCAGGCGAUAUUACCUCUACGGCCAACUGAUGAUGGAUCCAUGGUGCAGCAGUUCUCAGGCGAUAUUACCUCUACGGCCAACUGAUGAUGGAUCCAUGGUGCAGCAGUUCUCAGGCGAUAUUACCUCUACGGCCAACUGAUGAUGGAUCCAUGGUGCAGCAGUUCUCAGGCGAUAUUACCUCUACGGCCAACUGAUGAUGGAUCCAUGGUGCAGCAGUUCUCAGGCGAUAUUACCUCUACGGCCAACUGAUGAUGGAUCCAUGGUGCAGCAGUUCUCAGGCGAUAUUACCUCUACGGCCAACUGAUGAUGGAUCCAUGGUGCAGCAGUUCUCAGGCGAUAUUACCUCUACGGCCAACUGAUGAUGGAUCCAUGGUGCAGCAGUUCUCAGGCGAUAUUACCUCUACGGCCAACUGAUGAUGGAUCCAUGGUGCAGCAGUUCUCAGGCGAUAUUACCUCUACGGCCAACUGAUGAUGGAUCCAUGGUGCAGCAGUUCUCAGGCGAUAUUACCUCUACGGCCAACUGAUGAUGGAUCCAUGGUGCAGCAGUUCUCAGGCGAUAUUACCUCUACGGCCAACUGAUGAUGGAUCCAUGGUGCAGCAGUUCUCAGGCGAUAUUACCUCUACGGCCAACUGAUGAUGGAUCCAUGGUGCAGCAGUUCUCAGGCGAUAUUACCUCUACGGCCAACUGAUGAUGGAUCCAUGGUGCAGCAGUUCUCAGGCGAUAUUACCUCUACGGCCAACUGAUGAUGGAUCCAUGGUGCAGCAGUUCUCAGGCGAUAUUACCUCUACGGCCAACUGAUGAUGGAUCCAUGGUGCAGCAGUUCUCAGGCGAUAUUACCUCUACGGCCAACUGAUGAUGGAUCCAUGGUGCAGCAGUUCUCAGGCGAUAUUACCUCUACGGCCAACUGAUGAUGGAUCCAUGGUGCAGUUCUCAGGCGAUAUUACCUCUACGGCCAACUGAUGAUCCAUCGGUGGUA